UUCGCACAGCUACAGUUCUAUGUAGGAACAUAGCAAAAUAAGAAGCUGCCUGUCGCGUUUGCCCGUUCUUUUGAAAAUGUCUGUACAGGGGGAGAGAAAGAGUUAAUAGGCAGACCAAUAGGAAAGCCAGAGGCGGAGCCUACCUGUUUAUAAAAGGGCUUAGCCCGAGGUUUGGUUGGUUAGUUGGUUGGUUGGUUGGUUGGUUGGUUGGUUGGUUAAGGCAAUUGGGAAAGCAGUUGGUAGACAGAUGGAAAUAGAGAGACAGUUAGUGCAGUUGGUUCUUGUGUGAGGGGAGGUAGAAGAAAUGGAGACAGGAUAAAAAUAAGACUAAGAAGUCUAAGGUGAUCAAAUGAGACAUAGUGACAUCUGAUCUGUAUGCUUAAACCUGGAUCGUCCCCAAUCAUGAAGUCUAGAGGAUGAGUUCUGGUUUCUUGGAGUGCUACAGGAUGUCCCUGUUUUCAUCGGAGAAAUGUUGGAGGGUAUGGAGUUAUGCAACCACCAAGCCAAGGAGGUAAGCAACUAAAGA